rnacentral:lncRNA from 1 species
CUACCAGUUAGAAGUUAUCCGAAUCAGAAAUCCUGAGGACCCAAUCUAAAGGUAUUCUUGAAGAUCAGAUAUAUCAACACGUGGCCUCUCUUGGAUAUGACCUUGGAUCUUCUAGACAACUGUCUAUCACAAAACUCAAGAGACAGACUAUUGAGAUCUCCUCGAGUAGUGUGCAAAUUUAUGGGAUUAGACAUCCAUCAUUAGCUGUAAUUAAUUUUCCCCUUAGCGUGUCAACUCAAUUUUUGUGCCAUUAUUCAAUUGUUGUUUAAUAUUCCCAUGAAAUGGUGUCGUUUUUCAUGCGAAUCUUGUGUACUAAUACUUGUCACAAUUGUCACUUUCACACUUUUCACUCACUUCCUACACAAACUAUCACUCUCAACUCUCUCUCAUUCUUCAAGCAUUCUUCAAGUGUUCAUCAGUUUAUUCUUCAUUUACUACAUGGAUUCUCAACAAU